CUGCUCCCGCAGGAAGGGGUGGGAUUAGCUCGGGGCCGUCGCGGAGCCGGACCGCCCUAGCGGGAAGGUUUCCCCAGCUACCAGUGCCGAGCAAAUGACUGUAAAAAGAGUGAUCCAGAAGAGGGCAACAUUCACAGCCAUUCUGAGACCUAGGAUGAACAAAUGCUUUCACACUGACAGAAGAUGCUGCAAUACUUUGAGAGCAGAGGACAACAAAAUAAAAGAAGCUGAAGUUAGAAGACAGAAAAGGCGUAAGCUCUGUGAGAUGGGACGUGCCUCUUGCUUCAUGUCUAUACAAGUGCCAGGUGCACGGCUAGAAGAAGCAAUCUGUGUACAGGAGAAGUGCCAGCACCCUGGCAGCGCUCAGGAGGGUGAGCAGUGGGGUGUGGGGGCCUGAAUAUAUGUUGUAUUGUGAGAUCAGUGUGUGUCUAAGUUACUCCAAACGAGCUGCAGCUGCAGGGUCCUUAGUUGGGCAACAGCUGUGGCUCGUGAGGGUAACAGAUAAAUAGGGGUGGGUCAAGAGCCCAAGAGGAGCCCCUGAGAAGAUAGAAGAAGAGCCUCAGCAGAGA